CAAAGAGGAGAUGCAAAUGGAUUCAAAAAUAACUUUCCUUAGGGAUUCUGGACUUGAUGGUUAAAAUUUACAGGCCUGCAAUGAGAAAGCAAGGAGCCUUUAUACUUAAGAUGGCACUAUAAGUGGCAAGCUGUAAACCUUUUCGCUGUACUCAUGUGAGUACAUGUGAUCAUCAAGACUUGAUGCCAGACUUGUGUAUUUAUGACGCCUUUCAAAAUAUGGAAAGGAGAUAGAGGACUUGGUGACGUGGAGCAAUGAGAACAACCUCUCUCUCAACGGUAGCAAGAAUAAAGAACUGAUCAUUACUUUAGAAAGAAGGGAGGGGAACACUCCCCCCAUCUACAUC